UAGGGAAUCUUCGGCAAUGGGGGCAACCCUGACCGAGCAACGCCGCGUGAGUGAACAAGGUUUUCGGAUCGUAAAGCUCUGUUGUAAGAGAAGAACGUGUGUGAGAGUGGAAAGUUCACACAGUGACGGUAACUUACCAGAAAGGGACGGCUAACUACGUGCCAGCAGCCGCGGUAAUACGUAGGUCCCGAGCGUUGUCCGGAUUUAUUGGGCGUAAAGCGAGCGCAGGCGGUUUAAUAAGUCUGAAGUUAAAGGCAGUGGCUUAACCAUUGUUCGCUUUGGAAACUGUUAAACUUGAGUGCAGAAGGGGAGAGUGGAAUUCCAUGUGUAGCGGUGAAAUGCGUAGAUAUAUGGAGGAACACCGGUGGCGAAAGCGGCUCUCUGGUCUGUAACUGACGCUGAGGCUCGAAAGCGUGGGGAGCAAACAGG
rnacentral:rRNA from 1 species